rnacentral:rRNA from 1 species
AUUCUUGGUCAUUUAGAGGAAGUAAAAGUCGUAACAAGGUUUCCGUAGGUGAACCUGCGGAAGGAUCAUUAAACAUCAUCGGGGAGUUGGAUCCAGAUUGUGGGGCUUCGGUCUCGCUUUCUGCCCUUCUCUUACUGAUUAUACCCAUGUCUUUUGCGUACUAUUUGUUUCCUUGGUGGGCUUGCCUGCCGAUAGGACAUCAUUAAACCUUUUGUAAUUGCAGUCAGCGUCAGAAAAACAUAAUAAUUACAACUUUCAACAACGGAUUUCUUGGUUCUGGCGUCGAUGAAGAACGCAGCGAAAUGCGAUAAGUAGUGUGAAUUGCAGAAUUCAGUGAAUCAUCGAAUCUUUGAACGCACAUUGCGCCCCUUGGUAUUCCAUGGGGCAUGCCUGUUCGAGCGUCAUUUGUACCCUCAAGCUCUGCUUGGUGUUGGGUGUUUGUCCCGCUUUUCGCGUGGACUCGCCUUAAAACAAUUGGCAGCCGGCAUAUUGGCCUGGAGCGCAGCACAUUUUGCGCCUCUUGUCAUGAUUGUUGGCAUCCAUCAAGACUAUUUUUUACUCUUGACCUCGGAUCAGGUAGGGAUACCCGCUGAACUUAAGCAUAUCAAUAAGCGGAGGAAAAGAAGCCAACAGGGAUUGCCCUAGUAACGGCGAGUGAAGCGGCAACAGCUCAAAUUUGAAAUCUGGCUCUUUUAGAGUCCGAGUUGUAAUUUGCAGAGGGCGCUUUGGCGUUGGCAGCGGUCCAAGUUCCUUGGAACAGGACGUCACAGAGGGUGAGAAUCCCGUACGUGGUCGCUAACCUUCGCCGUGUAAAGCCCCUUCGACGAGUCGAGUUGUUUGGGAAUGCAGCUCUAAAUGGGAGGUAAAUUUCUUCUAAAGCUAAAUACUGGCCAGAGACCGAUAGCGCACAAGUAGAGUGAUCGAAAGAUGAAAAGAAUC